UCCAAAAUCAGAUCCUCUUAAUAAAAAAAUAACUUGUAUUAGGUCACAAAAAAUGAGUCAUUUAUGACACACCCUCAUCUCAAGUUGCCAGCAAAACCCUCGCUAAAAAACAUUUAUCGAGGGCGUAACGUCAAGAAGCGCAAGAAUUUCGCUACCCUUAUACCCCCGUAACCGGAACUGAACUAUUUUGUUACCAAAGCCAGACAACAGAAACAUCAAAAACCUCCCUUUCUCUCCCGUAAAACUUCUUUCUUUGUCGUAAAACUUUGUAUUUUGCAUAGAGUGUAAAGUUUCGCUUCCUCUGCUAUUGAUUGUGCUGCGUCGUCCUUUCCGGUGUGGUGUGGCCGAUCCUAGGGUUUGCCUGUUUGCCACACUCAAAUAUCCAUAAAUCGUGUGCAAAUCUAACGCUGCCAAUAAUUCAACAAAAAACAAGCCAUUUCACCCACAAGACACUCGUGCUGCCUUUAGAUAACUAAAUACACAUUGAUCGGUUUGCUAUUAUCCUUUGACAAGCAAGCUAGGGGAGUUUUUAUCGGUGUCUUGCUAUUAAACUGAAUUGAUUGAUUAUGUAUAGCGAUUUAAAUUGUAUGGUUCAAUUUAAUCAAGCCAAAUUAAACCCCCUCUUUAUAGAUCAAUUAAAACGUUUUAUAGUACAAUUUAUGACAUUUUCGUUAUUCCGUUGCAUUGAAGGGUUGAUCACAAACGGCAGAAUAAAAAAAAAACCCGUCUUAACGACACCCGCCUGUCCUGGUUCAAGGCCUCCCCGCCUCUUCAAUCAACAAAUUUUCCGAAAUCUAACAGGAAGACAAACAAAGCACGAUGCCAUUGUUUUCGUUUGCCGAGCAUAGUUUCCAUAAACUAACUUGUUUAAGGCGUCAAGGCCAGCCAAGGAACCGUUUCCUCCGAGGCGCGCAUGGAACAGAAACAUCGAAGGGCGCUUCUCCUCCGGGUGGAUGAUAUUAUCCUUCCGUGUAUCCGGUUCUGAUCGACGCCUUGUUCCGACAGUGUGAUUCCGAUUGGAAACGUAUAACGAAGCGCACAGAGGGAUCUGACUGCCAGGAGACGAUGGAUUUCCAAUGCGACGUCAAUAUUUUAUGCAAUAGCAACUGAUGCAGCUGAUAGUGUGCAAGGAAGUAGAUACACAACAAAAAAAAAGAUAUUUCUAUGUUCGAUAUGGUGGUGGUGUUGUUCUCCCUUUUUUUUUGGGAAUGUUGACGAUUCCGGAGAUGAGCAAUCGAGCAAAAGUGUGUGGGAAAUGUGAGGACAGGGAGUGAAAAAAUAGCCCCCGGCCGGCUAUAAAAUGCAGUCGAAUUAAUGUCCAGACCAAAUUGAAUGACCAUCGAUUUCCGUGGUCACCACAGUACAAUUAAUAUUCGGAAUUCAGACCGAUAAAAAAGCUAUCAUGUUCUAUUAUAAUAAAACGACUCGUAUGUAUUGCUGCUAUCUAUCUUUCAUACUAACUAUUAAAGUUUCAUUUUUUCGACUUAAAUUAGUUGUCUUGCCUCAUUUAGAAAGUGUUUUCUUGAAGGGAAGCAAUGAAGGGUUCAGAAUUACUGUCAUGCCUU